CCUACGGGGGGCUGCAGUGGGGAAUAUUGGACAAUGGGGGGAACCCUGAUCCAGCCAUGCCGCGUGUGUGAAGAAGGCCCUCGGGUUGUAAAGCACUUUCAGUGAGGAAGAACGCCUGGUGGUUAAUACCCAUCAGGAAAGACAUCACUCACAGAAGAAGCACCGGCUAACUCCGUGCCAGCAGCCGCGGUAAUACGGAGGGUGCGAGCGUUAAUCGGAAUUACUGGGCAUAAAGCGCGCGUAGGUGGCUUGAUAAGCCGGUUGUGAAAGCCCCGGGCUCAACCUGGGAACGGCAUCCGGAACUGUCAAGCUAGAGUGCAGGAGAGGAAGGUAGAAUUCCCGGUGUAGCGGUGAAAUGCGUAGAGAUCGGGAGGAAUACCAGUGGCGAAGGCGGCCUUCUGGACUGACACUGACACUGAGGUGCGAAAGCGUGGGUAGCAAACAGGAUUAGAUACCCUUGUAGUC
rnacentral:rRNA from 1 species